rnacentral:rRNA from 1 species
AUACGGAGGAUGCGAGCGUUAUCCGGAUUUAUUGGGUUUAAAGGGAGCGCAGGCGGAGAUGCAAGCGUGCCGUCAAAUUUCGGGGCUCAACCCCGUCUCGCGGCGCGAACUGCGUCCCUUGGUUGCGGGAAGGGGCGGCGGAAAUCGUGGGGUUGGGGGGAAAUGCAUGGAAAUCACGAAGAACUCCGAUCGCGAAGGCAGCCUUCCGGCCCGUCAACGACGCUCAUGCUCGAAGGUGCGGGUAUCAAACAGGAUUAGAUACCCUGGUAGUCCGCACAGUAAACGAUGGACACCCGCGGUUUGGCCUGUAUGGCUGAGCCGCCAAGCGAAAGCGUUAAGUGUCCCACCUGGGGAGUACGCCGGCAACGGUGAAACUCAAAUGAAUUGACGGGG